rnacentral:lncRNA from 1 species
CGCUCACCAAGAACAAGAGACAAGUGGCUCUGUAUCAUCUCAAAUGCUUCAGGAGAGUGAAUAGACUCUAGUUUCUGCUCCUGGUUUGGCCAAAAGUCCACCCGCCCAACAGGAUCUGAGGUAGCUGAUAUCUUCGGAAUCAUUGAAAUGUUUUUGUCUACAAAUUUCUGCACAAUCAAGCAGUAUAGUAUCUCCUCCAACACCUUCUGCCUUUCCUUCUCUCUGACCGCAGCUAUUCUCCUGAAAUGUAGCACAGACUCCUCAGAAAUAAAAUAGGUUGAUGAAAUUAAACUCAACAUUUGCAUAAUCCUUAGAAGUAGAGAACUAGACAACAGUUAAAAUCCCCUGAACCUUACUCUGGUAAGCCUAGUGUGUAACAUGAGUGGAGGCAUCCAAUGGAUGCUAAUCUCUGCUGACUGUCCUGCUUUGAUUCCUUUCAUAGCACCAACAAGUACUUGUGCUUGUGCUUGUGCUAGUGCUAGUGCUAUUCUAACAUUGUUGCAUCUAAAAUAGUAACUGUUCUUCCAACCUUAUGUUUUGGUAGCAACUCAACUGAAGAAGCAUCCAACUGUGGCAGAAGCCCAUGAAAAGGAGUUAAAAAACAGCCAUUAAGGACACAGGCAAACUAGGUCUUCAACACCAUUAUCAGCUGAUCCUAUGGCAUUACAAAGGUCAUGGAUGGAAAGGAUGUCGUGGAUCAUAAUGGCAGUCACUGUUUGUUAAGGACUAUACAGUCUGUCAUGGCCUGUUAGAUCACCUGUUGGCAUAUGAAUGAGACAAAAAAGGGUAAGCCCAAUUUCUCAUUUCUUGGGACAUUUUCUCCUCUGAGGCCUCUUAAAACUUAUGUUUCUCCUCCAGGUCAGUACAGAAGUUCACGGCUAUAAAGGAUGUUCUGGAUCAUCAUGGCCGGGGGAGAGGGCGAGGGAAAGAGGGAGAGAGAAGGAGGGAGAGAGGGGGAGG